rnacentral:rRNA from 1 species
GCGACACGCGGGCCAGCAGGGUGGGUGAUGUGAAGGGUGGAGAGGUGACUGUGAAUGAUGGGGGUGAAGGCGUGCGUAUGGGGUUGGUGAAGUCGGAUGUGUAAGCCCUGGGCGCAACCUGGGAAUGGCAUUGGAUACUGGCAGGCUAGGGUGCGGUAGAGGGUAGUGGAAUUCCCGUAGUAGCAGUGAAAUGCGUAGAGAUCGGGAGGAACAGCUGUGGCGAAGGCGACUACCUGGACCAGCACUGUCACUGAGGCACGAAAGCGUGGGGAGCAAACAGGAUUAGAUACCCGAGUAGUC